GCCGUUGUAGCUCAGUGGUAGAGCACUCCCUUGGUAAGGGAGAGGUCGUGCGUUCAAUCCGCACCAACGGCACCA
rnacentral:tRNA from 1 species